GCCGACCUAGCUCAAUUGGUAGAGCAACGGUAUCGUAAACCGUAGGUUCGGGGUUCGAGUCCCCGGGUCGGCU
rnacentral:tRNA from 1 species